rnacentral:lncRNA from 1 species
CCGCCACUAUCAUUUUUGACACUGCUGUUAAAGUUAAUCUUGACAAACCCCAAUGGAGAAGGCUCAGAGGAGAUGAAACAAACCCGACGGAUCACUGCAUAUGUAGCAAGGGAGCCCCAAGAGGUUGGAGAAGCUAGGGACUAUCCAGCAGUAUCAAAAUAAUAGUACUCCUCUGUAAGAUGAUAGGCCCUCUAUAAUACCC